AGUGAACGCUGGCGGUAGGCCUAACACAUGCAAGUCGAACGGCAGCACAGGAGAGCUUGCUCUCUGGGCGGCGAGUGGCGGACGGGUGAGGAAUACAUCGGAAUCUACUUUUUCGUGGGGGAUAACGUAGGGAAACUUACGCUAAUACCGCAUACGACCUACGGGUGAAAGCAGGGGACCUUCGGGCCUUGCGCGAUUGAAUGAGCCGAUGUCGGAUUAGCUAGUUGGCGGGGUAAAGGCCCACGAAGGCGACGAUCCGUAGCUGGUCUGAGAGGAUGAUCAGCCACACUGGAACUGAGACACGGUCCAGACUCCUACGGGAGGCAGCAGUGGGGAAUAUUGGACAAUGGGCGCAAGCCUGAUCCAGCCAUACCGCGUGGGUGAAGAAGGCCUUCGGGUUGUAAAGCCCUUUUGUUGGGAAAGAAAUCCAGCUGGCUAAUACCCGGUUGGGAUGACGGUACCCAAAGAGUAAGCACCGGCUAACUUCGUGCCAGCCGCCGCAGUAA
rnacentral:rRNA from 1 species